rnacentral:misc_RNA from 1 species
GUUAGGGUUUCUUUCCUCACCCCUUAUUUACCCAUUCAUUCAACAGAUUUGAUUGAAAAUUCAUUAUCUGGGUUGUCUUGAAAUCCCAAGAAAUCAGUAAAGAUCCAAACUUUGAGCUCAAAAAAAGUGUCCCAGGACAAUUAUAAACCUGAUAAGGCCGGAUUAUUUAGACAUCAAAAUGGGAUGUUUCACGGUUUCAAAGAGUAAGAAGAAAAAAUCCGUGCAUAGCAUCCACAUCAAACGUGUGAACCCUCAGGAGCAGUCACCUACUGCACUGCCUGAACCCCAGAGACAAACAAGAUCAUUGCAGUCAGCUCCACCAAGUUUUAGAACAAGAGUGAAACCUGUGCAGUCAAACAAUGGAGUAACAACGAGUAGGGCACGAACUCUAUCCGCCCCAUCAAGUCUAGACACAGCAGAUCAAGAUGCUCUAGCAUCGAAUGAAUGUGAGGAACAUGAAGAGCUGAGUAGUCGUGCUGGAUCAAUAAAGGAGUACAGGUCAUCAGUUCCUCAGCCUCUACCACUUCCAUCACCUCAGAAUGCCGCUGCUCUCAGGACUAUGAAAAGCUUCAAAGUGGGGAAUACAAGUAGCCCUCUCAAUGCCUCUGGACCAUUGCCACUGCCUCCUGUGCUGCCUCCUACAUUGCCUUCUACUGGAACGCUUCGGAACUUUGCUUUUGAUGAAAUUUCUGCUGCAUGCCACCAUUUCUCUCCAGAACGUUGUGUGUCAGAAGGUCUCUCUUCUGUUAUCUACAGAGCUUCUUUUGGGGAUGAUGCCUCUGGUACAAAGAAGCUUGAAGCCACUAUAACUCGCCUUCACCCUUCUUCACAGGGUCUGAAGGAAUUUGUCAACGAGGUGAACACCCUGGCUUCUUUGCAACAUUCUUCACUUUGUAAACUGAUUGGUUUUCAUGCACGCGAAGGUUCUGAGCACAGGAUGUUGGUUUUUGAGAGGCUUUUUCAUGGAAGCUUAGACAGACUUUUGUUCGGAAGAUCAGAUGGCCCCUCUAUAGAUUGGAAUGCGAGAACCAAAAUUGCCCUAUGUGCUGCACAAGGUCUUACAUUUCUACAUGAGGAGGGACCUUUUCAGGCAAUGUUCCAAGAAUUUUCAACUGGAAAUAUACAAAUCGACAAGGAUUUUAGUGCAAAGCUCUCGGGGUAUGGAUGCAUUACGAAUAUACAAGAGACGGAGAUAUCUUGCAAUUCAAUCGCCCUGGCGAAUCUCUCACAGGAGACACUGGAGAGAGGGUUGAUAACUCCUAAGAGCAAUGUUUGGAGUUUCGGGAUUGUUCUUUUAGAACUGCUCACUGGCCGGAAGAAUCUUGAUGGUCGGUAUUCAAAGGAAGAGAGGAAUCUAGUCAAGUGGAGUAGGCCUUUCCUUGCUGAUGAUGGUAGAUUAUCGCUUAUCAUGGAUCCUCAGCUUAAAGGACGGUUUCCCGCAAAAGCAGCCCGUACAGUGGCUGAUAUUGCCCAAAGAUGCCUGCAAAAGGAUCCAUCUGAAAGGCCCACCAUGAGAACUAUCUUGGACCAACUCAAAUCCGUACAAGUGAUGAAGUGCCCUUCACGGUUUCCUCUGCAAGAACCAGCGGUUGUUGGUGGUAAACACAUGUCAAAGUCUCCAAGCAUGAAUGGCAUCAUCACUCCUGUGCCAAGGUUGAGUUUCUCCCCUUCCUUACCACUCACCCGAACAUCGGCUUCUCCCUCAAAGGUUGCUACUCAACCCUUGGCUCGUCCUUCAUUAACAUGUUCCUACUCUUUCUCUUUGGAGGACCUUGAUAGACUGGAAAGCCGAAGGUCAUCAACUUCAUCUUUUCGCAGGUCCAGUGUUGAAGGAUUUUGAUUGUUUAUUCUUUAAUAGGUUACUUCUAGCCCUCUCUUGUGACAAGUGAUUACAUGAAAAGAUAUGAAGGAUAAAGAUGUGGUUUUCUACCUUCCCAUUCCUCAAGGAAGAAGAUGUGGGAAAUAACAUUUUGUAGAUAAGGUUUGUCCUUUGGUUUGAUUAGUGUUCUGUGAAUCAAGAUGUGUGGGGAGAUGUAGAUUUUCUUUAAUAUGUUAUUCGUCAACCUCCAGCCCCUUCCGAGAUGAAAAAAACAAUCCCCAGAUUGCUGGAAAGCAAUAAAAAGAGAAAGGGAAGGGAAGAUAAAGAAGAAAGAAAAUUCUAUUGUGUAAUGAUGUAUAUGUGUACAAGUAUUCUUUUUUUAGUUUAUUAAGAAAUGUUGUAUUUUGGGAACUUGGCUUGGUGAGAAAUAUGGUUUCAGUAGUGAGGGUGAUGCAACCUUACUCUUUGAUAGAGAAGUAAAUUUCAGUAUUCCAUGUUACCUGGAAAGUUUUGUAAUCUAAUGGUGAAUGAAAUAUAAGGUUGGAAAAUGUCAGCUACAAAAUCUCACAUAUAUUUGC